rnacentral:ncRNA from 1 species
UUCUUCGGGGUCGGGUGUAAUUCCCAACCGGCGGUAUAGUCCGCGACCUGUUGUAUCCUACACAGUGCAGCAGCUGAUCUGGUGAGAUUCCAGAACCGACAGUAAAGUCUGGAUGAGAGAAGGA